GUCUCCAGCCAUACCACCCCGGACACACCCGAUCUCGUCUGAUCUCAGAAGCUAAGCAGGACUGGGCCUGCUUAGCACUUGGAUGGGAGAAU
ensembl:rRNA 5S_rRNA 5S ribosomal RNA